rnacentral:rRNA from 1 species
CAAUAGCGUAUAUUAAAGUUGUUGCAGUUAAAAAGCUCGUAGUUGGAUUUCUGGAUGGAGCGACCGGUCGAGCAUUAAUUUGUCUGCACUGGAGUCGGUUCCGUCCAUCCUCUUGGAAAGUGCGUCGGGCAUUAAGUUGUUUGGCGUAUGAUCCAAGUCGUUUACUGUGAAAAAAUUAGAGUGUUUAAAGCAGGCCUUCGCCUUGAAUACAUUAGCAUGGAAUAAUAAGAUUGGACUUUGGUCUAUUUUGUUGGUUUGCAGACCGAAGUAAUGAUUAAUAGGGAUAGUUGGGGGUAUUUAUAUUCCGAUGUCAGAGGUGAAAUUCUUAGAUUUUCGGAAGAUAAACUUAUGCGAAAGCAUUUACCAAGGAUGUUUUCAUUAA